rnacentral:rRNA from 1 species
AGCAGCCGCGGUAAUUCCAGCUCCAAUAGCGUAUAUUAAAGUUGUUGCAGUUAAAAGCUCGUAGUUGAAUUUCGGGGUUAGUAGGUUGGUCAUGCCUCUGGUAUGUACUGGUCUCACUGAUUCCUCCUUCCUUAUGAACCGUAAUGCCAUUAAUUUGGUGUUGCGGGAAAUUUGGACUGUUACUUUGAAAAAUUAAAGUGUUUAAAGCAAGCUAACGCUUGAAUACAUUAGCAUGGAAUAAUGAAAUAGGACGUUCGAUCUUAUUUUGUUGGUUUCUAGGAUUGACGUAAUGAUUAAUAGGGAUAGUUGGGGGCAUUAGUAUUCAAUUGUCAGAGGUGAAAUUCUUGGAUUUAUUGAAGACUAACUACUGCGAAAGCAUUUGCCAAGGAUGUUUUCACUAAUCAAGAACGAAAGUUAGGGGAUCGAAGACGAUCAGAUACCGUCGUAGUCUUAACCAUAAACUAUGCCGACUAGGGAUCGGAUGAUGUUAAUUUUUUAAUGACUCAUUCGGCGCCUUACG